CGAACGGGUGAGUAAUGCGUGACCAACCUGCCCCAUGCUCCAGAAUAGCUCUUGGAAACGGGUGGUAAUGCUGGAUGCUCCAACUUGACGCAUGUCUUGUUGGGAAAGUGUUUAGUGGCAUGGGAUGGGGUCGCGUCCUAUCAGCUUGUAGGCGGGGUAAUGGCCCACCUAGGCUUCGACGGGUAGCCGGCCUGAGAGGGCGGACGGCCACAUUGGGACUGAGACACGGCCCAAACUCCUACGGGAGGCAGCAGUC
rnacentral:rRNA from 1 species